AAACCCGGUGAUCUAGCCAUGGGCAGGUUGAAGGUUGGGUAACACUAACUGGAGGACCGAACCGACUAAUGUUGAAAAAUUAGCGGAUGACUUGUGGCUGGGGGUGAAAGGCCAAUCAAACCGGGAGAUAGCUGGUUCUCCCCGAAAGCUAUUUAGGUAGCGCCUCGUGAACUCAUCUUCGGGGGUAGAGCACUGUUUCGGCUAGGGGGCCAUCCCGGCUUACCAAACCGAUGCAAACUCCGAAUACCGAAGAAUGUUAUCACGGGAGACACACGGCGGGUGCUAACGUCCGUCGUGAAGAGGGAAACAACCCAGACCGCCAGCUAAGGUCCCAAAGUCAUGGUUAAGUGGGAAACGAUGUGGGAAGGCACAGACAGCCAGGAUGUUGGCUUAGAAGCAGCCAUCAUUUAAAGAAAGCGUAAUAGCUCACUGGUCGAGUCGGCCUGCGCGGAAGAUGUAACGGGGCUAAACCAUGCACCGAAGCUGCGGCAGCGACGCUUAGGCGUUGUUGGGUA
rnacentral:rRNA from 1 species